UCAGGCAACAUAUCAAAUUUGUUUUAAAAGAUCAAAUAGGCAAAAUUGUUAAUCAGAACACUUCCAAUUCAAUCAGCUAACCAUUUGCUGUCCCACAUAAUAAGAUCAUAUGAUAAAGAAAAACUGCAGGUACUGCCGUACUGGUUACAGCAAGUACCCAAGGUUUAGAAGAAACACCAGACAUAAAUAAGCAAAAAAGACCAAAUAUUAAAAACUACAUGAAACAUAAUCUCGAAUGCAAAACUUCUAGCAGAAGCACUCCACCAGACAUCUAGCACUUGAUCUCCUUCAAACCAGGUGCAAUGUACAAAAAGGUAGGAUCAGCUGAACCCUCCUUGUAGUACGCAAACACCAGGGCGCCAUCAUCAUGCAUGCUCUCACCAACAAAGAAUUGCAAGUCCUUGAUCUUUUGCAAAAGAAACUUAGUUGCUGCUUCAAUGUUCUUUUUAAAUGCUUCUUGUGUUUCUCCUUCUAGCUUGGGUGUCAGGUUCUUGAUGUAUCUCUUCAUGAAGGUAACAAAUUGUUUCUUGUCAAAAGCAGGUUGC
rnacentral:misc_RNA from 1 species